rnacentral:rRNA from 1 species
GAUGAACGCUGGCGGCGUGCCUAAUACAUGCAAGUCGAGCGAACAGACGAGGAGCUUGCUCCUCUGACGUUAGCGGCGGACGGGUGAGUAACACGUGGAUAACCUACCUAUAAGACUGGGAUAACUUCGGGAAACCGGAGCUAAUACCGGAUAAUAUAUUGAACCGCAUGGUUCAAUAGUGAAAGACGGUUUUGCUGUCACUUAUAGAUGGAUCCGCGCCGCAUUAGCUAGUUGGUAAGGUAACGGCUUACCAAGGCGACGAUGCGUAGCCGACCUGAGAGGGUGAUCGGCCACACUGGAACUGAGACACGGUCCAGACUCCUACGGGAGGCAGCAGUAGGGAAUCUUCCGCAAUGGGCGAAAGCCUGACGGAGCAACGCCGCGUGAGUGAUGAAGGUCUUCGGAUCGUAAAACUCUGUUAUUGGGGAAGAACAAAUGUGUAAGUAACUAUGCACGUCUUGACGGUACCUAAUCAGAAAGCCACGGCUAACUACGUG